rnacentral:lncRNA from 1 species
UUUUAUGUAUUUUUCAUAUAAUCUAACUCGCAUGUUUCACUUUGCUCUUUAACUUGUAUUUUUUUUGUCACAUGUUUUGCUUUGUAUAACAUUAUGAGAUGCUAAUAAUAAGGCGCAGAGAUAUUCCAUCAUUUUCUGUUAUCUCUUGCCUCGCAUCGCCGCUUGCCCAUCGCCUGCGUAAUCUCCGCCGCCGCGCCUCUUCCAUCUCUCCAUACCCUCAGCCUCUCACUGCCACUCCGUUGCUAACAGCCGCCCACCGCCACUCCGCCGCCCACCACCGCUCACCACCGCCACCGUCACCGGUAAAUUAAUUGCAACCACUUUGUUCCUAUAUCAUAUAUCUCUCUCUCUCUCUCUCUCUUAAGAUUUUGUGUAGAAUGACUAAUUUGGAAUGAUAGCAAGGUCAACAAGUAAUUGUCAAUAUAUCUCGUGAUUUACUUUCACUCAAUUCUUCUGUCGUGUUUGUGUUUUUGCUCUUCUGUUUCAAACCAAUAAAUGGUGUCUUUUUUUUUUUUUUCCGACCACAUUGUUUUAUUCAUAAUCUUAUAUAGAUUCAAUUGUGAACUUUUUGGUUUAUAUACAUAUAUAGUACACGGUAGUCAUAUAUAAUCACAUGUAGUAACAAGAAUGAACAUAACUACAUGUGACUAUAGUUGACUACAUAUAGUCAUAUCUAGUCAUAUGCAGUAACAACUACUUGUGACUAUAGUUCACCAAAAUAAAUUUAUCAAAAAAAUGUCUUUCAUUAUUUUUUUUGUAUUUUUUCACGUAAUAUAAUUCGUUUGUUCCAUUUUUGUUCUUCGUUUUGUUUAACUUGUAUUUUUUGUCACAGGUUUUGCUUUGGGUAACAGUAUGAGAUGCAAAGAAUAAGAUGCAGAGAAGUGUCAUGUGACGUUUCAUUGUAGAUAAUUGUAGAUAACUAUAGUCACGUGUAGUAACAUAUAGUUAUAUACGUGUUAUGUGUUUUUAAUGUAUAGUAAUGCGUGUUCAUAUUUUGAAGAUUUUAUGGAUGUGAUUGUGUUUUCGUUUUUUUUUUUUGGGUUAGUUGAUUUAUAAUAUCAAGAUUGAAAUUGUAAAUUUUGUUGUUCGUGUAGAUUAAUAUUGGUAAAAAAACAG